UACGGAGGGUGCGAGCGUUGUCCGGAAUCACUGGGCGUAAAGGGCGCGUAGGCGGUGGGGUAAGCGUGUGGUGAAAGUCCGGGGCUCAACCCCGGAUCGGCCGUGCGAACUGCUUCACUUGAGCACUGUAGAGGCAGGUGGAAUUCCGGGUGUAGCGGUGGAAUGCGUAGAGAUCCGGAGGAAGACCGGUGGCGAAGGCGGUCUGCUGGGCAGUUUCUGACACUGAGGCGCGACAGCGUGGGGAGCAAACAGG
rnacentral:rRNA from 1 species